rnacentral:lncRNA from 1 species
CCUGGAAUGGUCCAUUCAGAAUUCUCUACACAGACCUGGCCACUCCAAAAAGCCAGUGGUGAGUCCAGAGGAGGGCAGCUGAAAUGGGACAAACUAGGCUUCUAGAAGACAAUGAUGACUCUGGGAAGGGCAGGCCUGAAUGUGGAUUUUGGGACAUUCAUGAAGUCUUCAUAGUACAGAAAGGAUUAAGCUAUAACCCUAUUGUGAAGCCUUUAGGCUCAUGACUCUUGAAUCUCUUUUGAACCUCAAACCCUAGUUUGCGACCAAACAGAUCUGCAUAUCCAUCAGGUACAUCAAACCCAACACAGCACAAAGGGAACUGAUUACACCUUCCCAAAAUCUGCCUCUAAGGGUCUAAUCAGCCCCCUUGACAGCCCUCAGCCUAUAUCCUAGCAGAAAAACCGGGGUGAUCCUCAACUCCUCCCUCUUCUUUUCCUAUGGACACACCAUCACUGUCAUCUCCACCUUACAGAAGUCUCUUAGGAUGUCUCCUCUUUCUGGUCUUACAGAAGCCACUUCUGUUCACCCCACUGCAUGGCUUACCUAGACAGUGGCAAGAAGCUCCCAACCGAUCUUCCCUCAUCUUGCCCCAUUCAGCUUCCCUCUGGAGUAUUCCCAGGGUGUCUGCUAGACCCACAAAGCAGUUGCGUCCCUCUCUCUUAUCCAAAUGCCCUGAGUGGCUCCUGUUAUCCACAGGGCGAGCUGGCCCUGACCCACGCUUCCAGACUCCCCUCUCCCCACACCCACUGCUUGCCUUGAACUCCAUGUGAUUACUGGCAGCAUCAGCUGCAGCCUCGUUCCUCUACAGAUCCUGGCUCACAUGCAUCCUCAGGCUGGGAUGCCACUCUGCCUUUUGCACACCUCUCCACACUCAGCUCAAAUACCACCUCCUCUGUGAAGCCUUUCUUGACCAAGCCCCCACCUCCCCAUCAUGCCCUUUUCUUAUUCUGCCCCCUCAAGGCUCACCAGUGAACUCACUGCCACCUGUCUCUCUCCUCCUUGGGGGCACUGGCUACAUUUUCUUCAUCUUGGUUUUCCCAGGUUCUGAUAGUGCCUGGCACCUUGUAAAAGCUGUGUGCAUGUUUGCAGAAUGAAUGAGUAAACACAUGGAAAUUAAAACUAUUUAAACAGGUCCAUAAAGAUUGUGUUAUGCUCAAGGAAGAUGGAUUCAUUACACAUCUCAAAAGAACCUCAGGACCUUCUGGGACUGGAAUGGCAACACCGUGUGGGGUAAGGAGCCUAGAACGUUCAGUUAUGUUCUCAAGUCGUCACAGCUUCACCUUACCCAAGAUAUCUAACAUCUCUGAGCCUCAACUUAUUCAUCUAUAAGAAUAAGAGGACGCUACAACAUCAACCACAAAGGCUGGGGUGAGAACGACACGGGCUCAUGAUGCCAAACGUCUGGUGGAGGUCGGCACAGGGCGGGCAGAGGUGGCAAAUGGCAGUGUCCUUUGUCCCCAAUCAACAGAACUGAGCUGAACAUGAGACUCUGAGAAAGGCUCGGGACAGCAGGGCCACAGCACGUCUCCUGGCCUCCAGGGACAGUCAACUUGAGGAGGCGACAAAUCUCAUUUGCAAAGGCCCCUAGCUGCAGACCUCCCUGGCUUGGGGAGCCGCAGGCAUCUUCUGUGUUUAUCCCUCCAACCACAUCCCUGGCCAAUGGCUGCUUCUGCUUCCAUACCCUGCUCAGCAGGCUCAUCCACACUCAUCAGGAAUCCUGGAGAGACCUCUCCUAUCCCAAACCUCUCUCAGGCUAAAUGGCUACACAACCGGAAAAGGAGCCGUGGAGAAACUGACUCCUUGGGGGUGAAGGCCUC